rnacentral:rRNA from 1 species
UAUCCCUACGGGAGGCAGCAGUGGGGGAUAUUGCACAAUGGGGGGAACCCUGAUGCAGCGACGCCGCGUGGGUGAAGAAGCGCCUCGGCGCGUAAAGCCCUGUCAGCAGGGAAGAAAAUGACGGUACCUGACUAAGAAGCCCCGGCUAACUACGUGCCAGCAGCCGCGGUAAUACGUAGGGGGCAAGCGUUAUCCGGAUUUACUGGGUGUAAAGGGAGCGUAGACGGCAUGGCAAGCCAGAUGUGAAAUACCGGGGCUCAACCCCGGGACUGCAUUUGGAACUGUUAAGCUGGAGUGUCGGAGAG